rnacentral:rRNA from 1 species
GACGAACGCUGGCGGCGUGCCUAAUACAUGCAAGUAGAACGCACAGUUUAUACCGUAGCUUGCUACACCAUAGACUGUGAGUUGCGAACGGGUGAGUAACGCGUAGGUAACCUGCCUGGUAGCGGGGGAUAACUAUUGGAAACGAUAGCUAAUACCGCAUAAUAUUAAUUAUUGCAUGAUAAUUAAUUGAAAGGUGCAAUUGCACCACUACCAGAUGGACCUGCGUUGUAUUAGCUAGUAGGUGAGGUAACGGCUCACCUAGGCGACGAUACAUAGCCGACCUGGGAGGGUGAUCGGCCACACUGGGACUGAGACACGGCCCAGACUCCUACGGGAGGCAGCAGUAGGGAAUCUUCGGCAAUGGACGAAAGUCCGACCGAGCAACGCCGCGUGAGUGAAGAAGGUUUUCGGAUCGUAAAGCUCUGUUGUAAGAGAAGAACGGGUGUGAGAGUGGAAAGUUCACACUGUGACGGUAUCUUACCAGAAAGGGACGGCUAACUACGUG